GGACUGCGCUAGGGAUUGGGAGAGGCUGGCAAGGUUACCUAUAGCCUGGGAUAGGGUAGCAGCCCAUUCCGGAAGGACCGACAAGGAGGAGGCCGCAGGGGCGGACUGGGUGGGCCCGGGGGGAAGGCACUGCACACAGAGAGAGGAAGACUGACCACAUGGGAACUUCCUACUACACACAGAACAGGCGUAAUGAGUAGAAAUGGUGGCAGGGGGAGUGGGGGCCCGACCAGAAGAAGACAUGAGGGCGUCUAGGUGGUGGACCCUGA